rnacentral:rRNA from 1 species
GAUGAACGCUGGCGGCGUGCUUAACACAUGCAAGUCGAACGAAGCACCUUAUUCUGAUUUCUUCGGAAUGAAAAAUUUGGUGACUGAGUGGCGGACGGGUGAGUAACGCGUGGGUAACCUGCCUCAUACAGGGGGAUAACAGUUAGAAAUGACUGCUAAUACCGCAUAAGACCACAGUACCGCAUGGUACAGGGGUAAAAACUCCGGUGGUAUGAGAUGGACCCGCGUCUGAUUAGGUAGUUGGUGGGGUAACGGCCUACCAAGCCGACGAUCAGUAGCCGACCUGAGAGGGUGACCGGCCACAUUGGGACUGAGACACGGCCCAAACUCCUACGGGAGGCAGCAGUGGGGAAUAUUGCACAAUGGGGGAAACCCUGAUGCAGCGACGCCGCGUGAGCGAUGAAGUAUUUCGGUAUGUAAAGCUCUAUCAGCAGGGAAGAAAAUGACGGUACCUGACUAAGAAGCACCGGCUAAAUACGUGCCAGCCGCCGCCGUAAAAC